CUUGUGAAGGGUCCUUUCAACAAAAACAGAUCACAUUAAUGACAACAAUUUACCCUAACAAUAAGUAAAUAUGUAGAUAUGAUUGCCUUCUUUAAUCAUCAUCUAAUCUCUUUAAAAAUGAUUUGCAUACUUUUUGUUUACUCACUUUGACAAACUAAAUCCACUCGAUGCAUCUGAAUAGUCGAUUAUCAUCGAUCCUUUAUGAAUUUAUUGCGUAAUCACCAAACAUCGAUUUUUCAAUCAUCGCACAUCACUAUGCUCUUCAUAACAUCACCUUGCUCAGCAAUAAUACUGCUGAAGUACAGGGUGUUAGGAUGAGGAGAGGAAAAAAAAGGUUCCCCUUGCGCAUUAAACUGAUUCUGGUUUGUUAUGUUUUGGUUUAAUGUUUACAUUUCAUAAGAUGUUUUGUAUCCACUCUUUCAAUUUACUCACAAUGUCAGUGAUUCUUUUCGGAAGUGAAUUAAUAAGAGAUACAAGUUUCAAGCUGGAUUUUUUUGAUUGGAAAAUUGACCCUCAAUGCUUUAUGCAACUGUGAUUAGAUGAACCAUCAGGCCAAAUUAAUGCUCCACCCACCAAACGAACUUUCUUAUCACCCUGUAGUCACUGAAUCAAGUAUAAGAAUGUCAGUGAUGACAGCGCCUCACUAAGAAGUCGAGUACGGCUGAGUGGCUCUCACUCCACCCCCUAAUGGCCAUACACGCUUGGCUGAGCGCUCUUACAUCUGUUGGAUUUGAUAACUUAUCUUUUGGUUGGAAUUGUAAUCUAUUUAUCGAUUGUUUCUCGCUCUUUUCUUAGAAUAUUUGAAUCAAUGAUCUUUCAUUCUAUAUUCUCAGAGGCUUCAUGAAGUACAAAAGAAUGCGAGGCUGUCGUGAAGCAAGCAAAAGAUUCGACUUUGUGUAAAAUGUUCAGACCCAGGCUUCUCAAUGGCUGGAAUGUGCUGGACCCUUUCGUUAAUCAUCUCAGGGAUGUCCUUCUUGGAAAUAUAAUACCUAAAUGGAAUGAUUUACUCUAUCAGAAUGAUUGGCAAGAAGCAAUUAAUCAGCUUGAAAUAGGUUGAAUGAAACCGAUGCCUCCUUUAGCGGGAAAGGGCGAAAGAUUUACUAUAAUUGGUAGUAGUCAUGCAGAAUUAUCUUUUGCUCAUCAGUUGAUGAAGUUAGACACAGUUACUAUGUAUGAGAGAAUUACCGUUUUGGUCACGGAAAUACUUGUAAUAUGGUUAACCCACCAUGGAAAAUUGUUAAACGACGAAUUGAAUUAAUGGCUGUUGAGGUUAUCAAAACCAAUUGUGAUAUCGAAAAAACAAUCAGUGGUAAAGACUUGAUUAAUCGAUAUGAUGAUUUCUGUGUUGCCACGGGUCCACUUGACCUCGAGAUUUUAAUAUUCUUGAACAAGAACUUGAUGCUAUUUACUUGCCAUGACUUACUUGGAAACUUGACAAAACUACAAAUACCAGGCACUCAUAAAGAAUGGCUGGCAUGAGUGUAUUGUUUAUUAAUAAUUAUUUUUUCAACAAUUUA